rnacentral:piRNA from 1 species
UUCAGCUGUUUGCUUGAUUCAGUGUCAAU